AGAGGUGCCUCCCUUCCUUGAAACUUCUUCACCUUUGCUUCAAGAGCACCACAGAGCAGAUUCUUCAAGGCAGAGAUAUACAAGAAUCCCUGUGGAAAACCUCAUGAACUCAAGGUCAUGCAGAGACUUAGGGAAGAACUGGGACUGGCUUAUCAAGACUCUACACUACUGACCCAGGGCUUGGCAGUUUCUGUCCUAGAAAUCAGAACACGCAGCUCAUGCAUCACCGAGAAGGUGGUCAGCCUAAGAAGUGGUUCCCCACUCUUUGUUCUAAGAUAUUCCUCUCUCAGA
ensembl:lncRNA BAALC-AS1 BAALC antisense RNA 1